GAUCAUUACAUAUUGGUCAAAGAAUAGUUUGAAAAAGGCUAUUUUUUUUUGACUUAAAAAACUUAUCCACAGUGUGGGAAAUGUCUUCUAACGCUUGUGCCUGGUUCAGUCUAGUGCUGCCACUUGAGUUUAUCCUUAGAUCAAGGGAUCUUUGGGUAGUUGUUCAUUAUUUUCUCUCUCUUUUUAGGGGGGGGGAGAUUAAUGAUGGGCACCUCUUGUAAAGGGGAUAAAAUUACUUUUAUUAUACUAAAUUUUACUGAACUGAUAGACCAUAAAUCUAUGGUUGUUUUUUAUUAUAAUUAAAAAAAAAAAACAACUUUCASCAAKGGAUCUYUYGGCUUUYGWAUCGAURAARAACSCASCAAAUCSCGAUAUGUAAKGKGAUYUGCCUAUAGKGAAUCAUCAAAUYUUUGAACGCAUYUUGCMCCUUAUGGUAUUCCAUAAGGWACGUYUGUUUCAGUACCCCUAAUAAAUYUCUYUYUAUCCUUGAUGAUARAAAAAAAARARAUAAAUUAUUACUGGUCCKGGKGAUUYYUUUUUUUUUUUUAUUAAAAAGAACCACUCUCGGCCUAAAUAUAAGGCUCGACUUUUUUUUACCAGAUCUUGCAUCUAGUAAAAACCUAGUCGGCUUUAAUAGAUUUUUAUUUUCUAUUAAGUUUAUAGCCAUUCUUAUAUUUUUAAAAUCUGGC
rnacentral:misc_RNA from 1 species